AAGCAGGCAGUCACUGGUCGUGGACAGGAAGACUCUCUCCGGCCAUCUCAGCUGUGGUCCUCUAACCUGUGCCUGUGAGCCACCAAGAGUGAACGGAAACUAGAAGCAUUGCCACCAACAACUGGAGCAGUGACCACACUGAAGUUUCUCUGUCGAGGGGGAAGGGGAGUAAGGAGAAAAAAAAAAAAAAAAGGCAAGUAAGCAAGCAAGCCAGCAAGCACAGGAGCACACUCUCGUGGAGGCCCACACCCUCCCUGUGCCUACCCAAGAUGUGUCAGUCAGAGAAGCAUCCAGGACCGGAGCUCCAAGCAGCAGCAAAAUGGUUGUACUUUCCCCAGCUGGCCCUAUGGCGGAGGCUAGGCCAGCUGAGCUGCAUGUCCAGACCUGCUCUGAAUCUGCGCUCCUGGCUGCUGACCAUCCUCCACUACCUCCUGCCCUUCCGUGUGCUCGGGCCCCACAGCCAGGUGGGAUGGAGGCCCCUGAGCAGGGUAAGUGUAAAUAGGCCUCCUGGUCAUGACCCUCCCUAGACAGGCCUGAAGGGGAAGCACAGAGAAGGAAACAACUUAUCAGAGACCGCACUCAUGAAUAAUAUGUGUGAGAAGGUUGUUUGGUUGGCAGCCCUGUGACAGUUCAGAACUCGCCGGUUUUGUCAAUCAGAAAACAAUGCCACUGGUUUCCACAUGCAGAAGAAAACAGGUGAUUGCAAGAAAAAGACCAAGCAGAGUCUAGCCAGCAGAGGGUGGUUUAGGAAGCUGUAGCCAGGCUGGGCCUGUUAGUUGGAGUACAUGCUUGAGCUCAGGACUGCACAGGCAGCAUCUCAGGCAGGCCCUGGCCAGCAGGUACCGGAAGGUUCUCUCUCACUCAGCUUCUUGACAGACUGACUCCAAAAAGGAAGCCCUGCUUCUAGGACACUGGUAGCCUAGGUAGGCACCACAAAAGCCCAAGGAAGUAUACUAGACACUAGAGCAUAGCCUGGGGCCACUUGAUGGUAUUGCUCUGUCCAAGUCACUAAACAUCAGUCAGAAGACACUGACUUAGUGUGGGAAGGUCUGUUGAAACUUGGUAAAAUUACUUUACUCCUAAGGGAGUUGGUGCUGUUGGUGCAGCAGUGGUGGCAGAUGCUCAAGUGCUCUGCAGGACCCUCUGGCCUGAAAGUGGGACUAGUACCUACCUCCUGGUGCUCUGUACUAGACAGGUGACAGAGAGCUUCCUCCUGCCUCUGUAGAGAGCCCAUGGGCUUGCUCAGGUGCAGAUGUGGCAGGGUGAUGUAGAUCUGGGAGUGAAAACACCAUCCUUGCUUCCUUUUGAAGAGGAUGCUCAGGACUGUAGGGCUGCCCUUUCCUCUUGGGAGCCUGAUGCCUUCUUGAGUGGUCUGGAAUGUGGGCAGUUAGCUGGCACAAGGGCAGCAUGCCUCUUGGUGGUCUUUCAAGCUUGCACCAGGUCUGUUUCUGUCCUCAUCUUCCAUUUGUAAGAACCAAGGCUAUACAGCCCAGUCUCCACCUCUGGGAUUAAGGCAGCUGCUCUUUGACCUUUGUGUGCUAUAGCAAAAAUGAUACAGGCUACAUGUAUAUCCAGCCUUGUUUUGAGUAUUUGGUGAGCAGUCUGGUUCCUUCUGAGAAACAGCCACCUCACAAACCAGCCUGAACACUUGGGCCUUCGUGGUGGCGUCUGUAGAGUUUCUUUCUCUCUCACUCAUGUGGGGAUGGGGG
rnacentral:lncRNA from 1 species